AACGAACGCUGGCGGCAGGCUUAACACAUGCAAGUCGAACGCCCCGCAAGGGGAGUGGCAGACGGGUGAGUAACGCGUGGGAAUCUACCUAGUUCUACGGAACAACAGUUGGAAACGACUGCUAAUACCGUAUACGCCCUACGGGGGAAAGAUUUAUCGGAAUUAGAUGAGCCCGCGUGAGAUUAGCUAGUUGGUGGGGUAAUGGCCUACCAAGGCGACGAUCUCUAGCUGGUCUGAGAGGAUGAUCAGCCACACUGGGACUGAGACACGGCCCAG
rnacentral:rRNA from 1 species